GUUGCUAAAAGAUAAAUUUAUAAAAGAUUAGGUUGUUGGUUGUUUUAAAAGACAUACCCAAGCCUAUGAUCUUUAGUUGAUCUGAGAGGAUGAUCAACCACACUAGAACUGAGACAAGGUCUAGGCUAAUCAAUUAGCCAGCAGUGAGGAAUAUUGAACAAUGAACGAAAGUUUGAUUCAGCAACACUUACUUGAAUGAUGACGGCUCUUUGGUUGUAAAAUUCUUUUAUUAAAAAUGAUAAUGACAUUAUUUAAAGAAUAAGUCCCGGCUAAUCUCGUGCCAGCAGCCGCGGUAAAACGGGAGGGGCAAGCGUUAUUCGGAAUAACUGGGCGUAAAGAGUUUGUAGACUGUAAUAAUUGUUGUUUGUUAAAACUUAAAGCUCAACUUUAAAAUUGCAAAUAAUACGUUUUUACUUCGAGUUUUUUUCAGAAGAAUAGAAUUUUGAAUUUAAGGUUAAAAUCUGUUGACAUUCAAAGGAAUACCAUUAAAAGCGAAGGCGAUUCUUUAGUGAAAACUGACGUUGAGAAACGAAAGUAUAGGUAGCAAAUAGGAUUAGAUACCCUAGUAGUCUAUACUGUAAAUUCUGUGUGCUGUAAUUUAGUUAUUUAAUUAGAUUUUUUUAAGCUAACGCUAUAAGCACACCGCCUGAGGAGUAUAAUCGCAAGGUUGGAACUCAAAGGAAUUGACGGGAGUUUACUACUAGCGGUGGGGCAUGUGGUUUAAUGCGAUAAUCCGCGCAAAACCUUACCAAUUUUUGAAUAAAAUUAAAAAAAUUAAGUUCAGUAACGAAUGAUUUUUAUUAUAUAAUUUUACAGGUGUUGCACGACUGUCGUCAGUUCGUGUCGUGAGAUGUUUGGUUAAUUCCUUUAACGAACGCAACUCCUAUUUUUAAUUAUUUUUUAAAAAUACUGCAAACGAUAUGUUUGAUGAAGGUUGGAAUCAAGUCAAGUCUCUGUGACCCUUAUAAAUUGGGCUACACACGUGCUACAAUGAAAACAACAGAAAGUUACUAAAAUAAAAAUUUAUGUUAAUCUCUAAAUGUUUUCUUAGUUCGGAUUGUAAUCUGUAACUCGAUUACAUGAAGCUGGAAUCGCUAGUAAU
rnacentral:rRNA from 15 species